rnacentral:lncRNA from 1 species
UUCAAAUAUAUUUGCUAAUAUCUAAAAUGUUUCUCUAUGAUUACUGCAACCGAAAAUUACAAGAAUCAGCAGCAAAAAACACACAGCAUUUUCCCCCUCUCAAAAAAAAUGUAACUAUAUAUGAAGCAGUCCUACUGAAAGAUUUAACAUGCUUAAACCGCAGUAAACCUUCCAGUCGCCCCUGCCAUGGAAAACUCGACCUGCAGUCGAAGGGUUGCAGAGACGAGACGCUAAUAUCAGCAUUAAUAUUGGAAAUAUCCUUAAGAUCCUCUUUAUAGGCAACAACCAAGAUAGUCCCUAAUCCCACAGCAUUUGCCAGAAGAUUUGCCCCUAUCGACUUCCUGGCAAUUGACCACCGAAAAUAUCAUUGGAUAAAACGUGACUGGAGAUUUUCAAAUUACUCCAAAUGGAUUAGCAUAUUACCUAUAUCCACAAGGCCGUCACUGUUUCCAGCUAGCUAAAUUGUGAUAGGAGUAACAUGCAGGCCAUCAUUAUGGGGAAAGCAACGAGGGCUGAUGCCUAAUUGGCAGAUUGAGUUAGAUUCAGGAUAAAUGUUCAAAACAUUUUUGUGGCAAGAUUAGAUGGAGAAAGUUCGAUAACAUAAGGUAAGGAAAAGAUCAUACCACAAAAAAUACAACCUCCUCGUGAGCAAGAGAUGCAGUUAGUUCAUGGCUCUCAAUUGCAUGUCUUACAACUCCUUGCAACUAUAAUUCAAGAAUUGUUACUUCACAAUACGCCGAAGGCUGAUGCAAUAACCUUCUCUAAAUAGUCAAGCUCAAUAAUAUUUACUAUUGAAUUUCAAUUAGGCAAACAUUUAGUAGUAAAAUAAUAUGAUCAAAUAUUCAGUUAAAUUCCAAAUAUGCUGCUUGAGAAAAGUGAAUAGCUGCAAAGAUG